rnacentral:lncRNA from 1 species
CUCCCCCCCCACACUCCUCUCUCACACCUGUUCAUGUGCCUUUUUUUCCCCUUACAUGUCUGUCCACGGGCUACAGUGACUCCCUUCACACACAUUCAAUGCACACGAUACAUAUGCUCACAUAUGUAUGUAAACGCCUCUGCUUUAUGGCUUUGCACGAAGCUCUUUUUCUCAUAUAUCCAUGCUUCUCAAAUUUUUCUUUCUCCUUGCACCUAUAUUUCUGAUUUUGUGCACCCAACUCUUCUCAUACCUUCUCAUUUCUACCGUACACACAUGUCCACACCUCUCCACCAGAUGCAAACUCAUGCUGUGACGUAUUUGUGUAUCUGGGCACCUCAGAACACAUGCAUAAAGAUCUCCGGUCUCCUUCCUCUCCUGCCUUCACCGGCAGCUCCUUCUCAUUGUGGCAUUCACCACAGCGGCCGGAAGUGCACAGGGAGGCUUCUAAAGCUGUCAUCCAGUUCCACACUGCUGUGUUUAAUGGGGCCGUUGUGCCACGGUGAAGCAAGGAAUUGGACGAAGUCUUUAGAACCCCAUUUGUGUGCUUUGGGCAGUUUGAAAUCCUAUUAUUUUCCUGCCAUUUUUUUCCAUGUAAAAGCAGGCUUCUAAAUGGGUUGAAAAUACUUAAAGUUUAUUCUCUCAGAAUAAAAUAUCUAGAAACUACAUAUAACCCAGUUGAUGUUAACUAGCACUUCCUUUGAGGCAAAUGUGUCUCUCAACAUAGAGAAAUGCUUAAACCUGGUUCUAUUAAAUUGGACUAAAAUGUGAAUGGGUAGAUGUAUUAGUUUGCUAGGGAUGCUAUCAAAAAGUACCACAAGCUCCGGUGGUUUAAACAACAGAACUGUGUUGUCUCACACUCUGGAGGACAGACAGAAAGAAGCCCCAAAUCAAUGUGUGAUCAGGUUUGGUUUCUUCGAAUGGCAGUGAAAAUCCGUUCUGAGCUCUCUAGCUGCCUUGUAGGCGACUGUCUUCCUGUCUUCUGUUGUCUUCCCUCUAAGCACACCAUUCUCCAAAUUUCCUUUUCUAUAAGGACCCCAGACACAUUGGAUGAGGCCCAGCCUAAUGGUCUAUUUUUAAUUUGAUUAUACUUGUACGUACCCUGUCUCCAAAUAAAAUCACAUUCUAAGGCACUGGUUAGGAGUUGUGGGAAAGUGUAAC